CACGUAGGGGACGAGCGUUGUCCGGAAUCAUUGGGCGUAAAGCGCACGUAGGCGGCCCGGUAAGUCCGACUGUGAAAGUCCAGGGCUCAACCCUGGAAAGCCGGUGGAUACUGCCGGGCUAGAGUCCGGGAGAGGCGAGUGGAAUUCCUGGUGUAGCGGUGGAAUGCGCAGAUAUCAGGAGGAACACCGAUGGCGAAAGGCAGGUCUCUGGGCCACUACUGACGCUGAGAAGCGAAAGCAUGGGGAGCGAACAGG
rnacentral:rRNA from 1 species